rnacentral:rRNA from 1 species
AUACGUAGGGGGCGAGCGUUGUCCGGAAUGAUUGGGCGUAAAGGGCGCGUAGGCGGCCCCUUAAGUCUGGAGUGAAAGUCCUGUUUUUAAGAUGGGAAUUGCUUUGGAUACUGUGUGGCUUGAGUGCAGGAGAGGUAAGUGGAAUUCCCAGUGUAGCGGUGAAAUGCGUAGAGAUUGGGAGGAACACCAGUGGCGAAGGCGACUUACUGGACUGUAACUGACGCUGAGGCGCGAAAGUGUGGGGAGCAAACAGGAUUAGAUACCCUGGUAGUCCACACUGUAAACGAUGAAUGCUAGGUGUAGGGGGUAUCGACCCCUUCUGUGCCGCAGUAAACACAAUAAGCAUUCCGCCUGGGGAGUACGGCCGCAAGGUUGAAACUCAAAGGAAUUGACGGGG